GGAGGGGUUACCCCAGCGGUCAACGGGUCCGGACUGUAAAUCCGGCGGCUCAGCCUUCGAAGGUUCGAAUCCUUCUCCCUCCACCA
rnacentral:tRNA from 11 species